rnacentral:rRNA from 1 species
AACGAACGCUGGCGGCAGGCCUAACACAUGCAAGUCGAGCGAGGACUUCGGUCCUAGCGGCGGACGGGUGAGUAACGCGUGGGAACGUGCCCUUUGCUACGGAAUAGCCCUGGGAAACUGGGAGUAAUACCGUAUGUGCCCGAGAGGGGAAAGAUUUAUCGGCAAAGGAUCGGCCCGCGUUGGAUUAGGUAGUUGGUGGGGUAAUGGCCUACCAAGCCGACGAUCCAUAGCCGGUUUGAGAGGAUGAUCAGCCACACUGGGACUGAGACACGGCCCAGACUCCUACGGGAGGCAGCAGUGGGGAAUCUUAGACAAUGGGCGCAAGCCUGAUCUAGCCAUGCCGCGUGAGCGAUGAAGGCCUUAGGGUUGUAAAGCUCUUUCAGUGGGGAAGAUAAUGACGGUACCCACAGAAGAAGCCCCGGCUAACUCCGUGCCAGCCGCCGCAGUAACAC